ensembl:snRNA U1 U1 spliceosomal RNA
UGGGUUAUCUGGCAGGGGAGAUACCUUGAUCAUGAAGGUUUUUCUAGGGUAGGCUCAUCCACUACAUUCCAGGUGUGGGGACCCCUGCAGUUUCCCCAAAUAUGGGAAACUCGACCACCUAAUCUGUCAGGUUGCCAUAGGUCAACCAAUCC